GUCGACGUGACGUGUUCGGCGCCGGAAUCCUCGAACCUCAUUCUGUCUUUCCCGCUUCUGACUUCGUGAAUGUAACAGAAGAGAAAUGGCAUCUAAAAAGAAAACAGAAAAAAACAUGGACUCGUUGCCCCACGUGGAACCGGCUGGUGCUUCUACCGUAGUCACCACGUUAUUUUGGAAUGGCAUGGAUGAAUAUGAAAGUAUGGAAGUUGGAAUUAUUCCUGGAGUUUGGCAGUUGAGUGAAGUGGAAUAACAGCAUGUGGCACAGAAAAUCUGGGAGCUGGAACUGUUCCUUCAGUUUUGGAAAGCAAGUUGUAUGGAAUAACACCUUGAUAGUGCAGAAAAUCUGGAAGCUGCAAUAGUGUAAUGGAAUAACAUCUUGAUAGUACAGAAAGUCUGGAGGCUGAUAUCACCGAGAUGCAGUGAAGAUAUGGAGAAGAUUGAAUAAUUUUGCAAAGGGGAUAGUAAUGUCUUCGGUGAUGUUGGUCUUAGCAGGCAUGAAGUACACGUGUUGCCCAGCUUUUCCUUUCAUGUAUGUUUUUAACACAUGGAUAUAGUAGCACUGCACACCCACAAUUUCAUGAAAUUAUUAUCAAUAACUUUGGCACAAAAAGUAGUCAUUGGUGUAGAAAGCCCCCAAGUGACUUUUAAACUUUGAGAGUAUGGGAAUUCCCUUUUAUCCAUGGGUACUAGACUCCUAACAGAAAUAAUCUGGAGUGUAUUUAAUGUAAAGGUAAAGAAUUAAUGCAGUGGUACAAGGAAAGUUGUUUUCUAGAACAGCAGAAUUGCUAUUAAAAAAUCUGUUAAAUUAUAUACAGAAUUUAAGAGGUUUCUCUUCUUGCACUUGUUAUCCACCUUUGGCACUGCUCUAUAAACUAGAACGACUCGCUAAGGAAGGUCGUGUAUCUAAAAUUGACGUGUUCCUUCCCAUAUUCCCAGUGCUGUUUCCGUCUUUUUCAAUUGUGAUAGUCCAGAGAAAUUGAUUUCAUUGAUCAUAAUCCAUGGUCUUGCCUCACUCUAUAAAGCUGCUCAGAUAUCUCUGAUCUUCAAAAUUGCAUAGGUUUGGCAAUAAUUGCUCAGGACUUCAGAAGUUAAGAACAAACCCUGAUGACAUGUCCAUCUCAAAGCUUGCUUCUGUGAGACUUUCGACUGAGUGAACCAUGUGCCAUAGAAGCUGACCUCUGCAUGCUGAUAAUGAG
rnacentral:lncRNA from 1 species